CAGAUAGUAUCCCACGUCAAAAGAAGUUAAUGAGGUUAUAAGGGAGAGAGUUAUGAGACUUUUUACAUAUUCUUGGUACGAGUUGUGGGACAUUCCAAUAGUCUCUAAACAAGUCAUGUUUCAAGAGUUUAAGACAAUGUGUCGUUGGUUGGCAAAGCAUGAUCAGGCCAUUUCUACAAUUUUUGAGAGACAUGCUGCUAUGUCACAUUAGAUUUCACAUCUUAGACAUGCCUUGACACAUGCCGUUGCUCCUAAUUCAAGUAGCGAAGAGGAAACGUAGAGUGGUAAGGUGUUUGUUGGGGAUACUUCUUAGUGUUGUGUUGUUUUACUUGACUUUUAGAUAAUUUUUAGAUAUUUUUGAACUUAGCUUUUAAUUUAGUGAAAAAUCUUUAGGAGUGUUUAAGUAUUUGAAUGUUGUUGGAUUCAAUGUUUAAGUGUUGUUGAUUUAAAUUUCUUAAAUAAUUUGUUGAUGUAGUGUGUUGUAUGAUUACUGUAAUAAUGUGUGUUGCAUAAGGGAUGUAUAUACUGAAUUGCAUUUUUGUUUA